rnacentral:rRNA from 1 species
AAAACGACUCUCGGCAACGGAUAUCUCGGCUCUCGCAUCGAUGAAGAACGUAGCGAAAUGCGAUACUUGGUGUGAAUUGCAGAAUCCCGUGAACCAUCGAGUCUUUGAACGCAAGUUGCGCCCUAAGCCGUUUGGCCGAGGGCACGUCUGCCUGGGCGUCAAUCA